rnacentral:rRNA from 1 species
GGCUCAGGACGAACGCUGGCGGCGUGCUUAACACAUGCAAGUCGAACGGUGAACCUCCCUUCGGGGAGGGGAUCAGUGGCGAACGGGUGAGUAACACGUGAGCAACCUGCCCCUAGCUCUGGGAUAACCCCGGGAAACCGGAGCUAAUACCGGAUACGAGACCGAGCGGCAUCACACGGUCUGGAAAGUUUUUCGGCUAGGGAUGGGCUCGCGGCCUAUCAGCUUGUUGGUGGGGUAACGGCCUACCAAGGCGACGACGGGUAGCCGGCCUGAGAGGGCGACCGGCCACACUGGGACUGAGACACGGCCCAGACUCCUACGGGAGGCAGCAGUGGGGAAUAUUGCGCAAUGGGCGAAAGCCUGACGCAGCGACGCCGCGUGAGGGAUGAAGGCCUUCGGGUUGUAAACCUCUUUCAGCAGGGAAGAAGCGAAAGUGACGGUACCUGCAGAAGAAGCACCGGCUAACUACGUGCCAGCAGCCGCGGUAAUACGUAGGGUGCAAGCGUUGUCCGGAAUUAUUGGGCGUAAAGAGCUCGUAGGCGGUCUGUCGCGUCGGAUGUGAAAAUCCAGGGCUUAACCCUGGACCUGCAUUCGAUACGGGCAGACUAGAGUUCGGUAGGGGAGACUGGAAUUCCUGGUGUAGCGGUGAAAUGCGCAGAUAUCAGGAGGAACACCGGUGGCGAAGGCGGGUCUCUGGGCCGAUACUGACGCUGAGGAGCGAAAGCGUGGGGAGCGAACAGGAUUAGAUACCCUGGUAGUCCACGCCGUAAACGUUGGGCGCUAGGUGUGGGGAACCUUCCACGUUCUCCGUGCCGCAGCUAACGCAUUAAGCGCCCCGCCUGGGGAGUACGGCCGCAAGGCUAAAACUCAAAG